AAUAAAAAUCUUUUUUCUAAUUCAAGAUGUUAUCAUUAAGAUUUUCGGGCAGGAAUGUUUUUCAUUUUUCCGUUCCCGAAUCCCGAGAAAAGUUGAUCGGGAAAUUGGGAAAAUUGGCUCUAGAACCUAGUAAUAUCUACAAUGUGAAAUGAACGUACUACUCACAAUGUAUCUUUCAGACAUUUUUCCUAUAUAUUGCUAUCUAAGUUACAUUGUGUUACAAUAUUACAUGCCACUAGAAAGGUACGUGCAAUGUAAUCGGAUAACACAUGAUCAGAUGAUUUUAGCUCUUGUAAAUCGAAUACAUUUGAUUACCGAGAACAAUGCAUUUAUACAGAAAAAUAUUUAUUUUCACAAUCCAGGAUUUGACUAGAUCAAAGUCAUCUUCAGAUGAACUAAGGAAAUCUAAAGUAGCUUACCUUAAUAUGACAUUGUAAUCAAAUUCAGGGUUGUGAAAAUAAAUAUUUCUCUGUGUAAACACAA
rnacentral:lncRNA from 1 species